GACGAACGCUGGCGGCGUGCCUAAUACAUGCAAGUCGAACGAUCCUUUCCUCCCCAUUCCUUGCUCUCGAUUGCGACGGACGGUUGCGGACCGGUUGGUUACCCGUGGUUAACCUAUCGGUCAACUUGGGGAAACACGUGCUAACAGGUGCUAAUAUCGCGUAACAGUUUAUUCCGCAGGGCAUGAGGGUUUUGGGCUCUCUCGGGUGUCGCUGCUGGAUGCACCCGCUGGGCAUUAGCUAGUUGGUGAGGUAACGGCUCACCAAGGCCACGAUGCAUAGCCGACCUGAGAGGGUGAUCGGCCACACUGGGACUGAGACACGGCCCAGACUCCUACGGGAGGCAGCAGUAGGGAAUCUUCGGCAAUGGACGAAAGUCUGACGGAGCAACGCCGCGUGAGUGAAGAAGGUCUUCGGAUCGUAAAACUCUGUUGUUAGGGAAGAACAAGUAUGUUAGUAACUGAACGCGUCCUGACGGUAUCUAAUCAGAAAGCCACGGCUAACUACGUG
rnacentral:rRNA from 1 species